UACAGAGACUGCAAGCGUUAUUCGGAUUCACUGGGCGUAAAGGGUGCGCAGGCGGCCAAGUGUGUCAGAUGUGAAAUCCCGAGGCUUAACCUCGGAACUGCGUCUGAAACUACUUGGCUAGAGUACUGGAGAGGGUAACGGAAUUCACGGUGUAGCAGUGAAAUGCGUAGAUAUCGGGAGGAACACCAAUGGCGAAGGCAGCCCCCUGGGUUAACACUGACGCUCAUGCACGAAAGCGUGGGGAGCAAACAGG
rnacentral:rRNA from 1 species